rnacentral:tRNA from 1 species
UGGUGUAGCUCAAUUGGCAGAGCAGCUGAUUUGUAAUCAGCAGGUUGCAGGUUCGAUUCCCGUCACC